CAGCGCCACGAGUCGCAGUCGCGAUUAUUGGGCCUAAAGCGUCCGUAGCCGGACCUGUAAAUCUUUUGUGAAAUCGUCAAGCUCAACUUGACGGCGUGCAGAAGACACUGCAGGUCUUGAGACCGGGAGGAGUCAGAAGUAUUCUUGGGGGAACGGUAAAAUGUUAUAAUCCCAGGAGGACUACCGAUGGCGAAGGCAUCUGACCAGAACGGAUCUGACGGUGAGGGACGAAAGCUAGGGGAGCGAACCGGAUUAGAUACCCGAGUAGUCC
rnacentral:rRNA from 1 species